rnacentral:misc_RNA from 1 species
UCUCCGUUGGUGAACCAGCGGAGGGAUCAUUACUGAGUUACCGCUCUACAACCCUUUGUGAACAUACCUAACUGUUGCUUCGGCGGGCAGAGGUCCCUCGCGGAUCUCUCCCGGCAACGCCCUCACGGGCGGAGCGCCCGCCGGAGGAUACCAAACUCUAUUUUAACGACGCUUCUUCUGAGUGGCACAAGCAAAUAAUUAAAACUUUUAACAACGGAUCUCUUGGUUCUG